GUUGGGCCGGGUGAAGCCGUGCGAAGCCAUUGCGGGGUCGAGAGAAUGUUCCCUGAGUUUGCUUAGCGCGGCUCGUACCAGGGGGCGGGGUAUGCGUGUGACGUCACGCAGCCGCUGAUCCGCUGUCACGGUGACGUCACGCCGCAGGAGGAGCGCGGGUGCAGAACAUGGCGGAGUGGCCAAGGCUCUUGACGUUGGCCCGCCAAGGAAAGCUGGACCUUCUGGAGGCUGCACUGAAGGAUGGAGAUGCCACCAACCAACGCUGUGUCCGUUCUGGGGACACUCUGCUGCACGUGGCUGCUCGCCAUGGCCACCGCCACCUUCUGGUCCUGCUGCUGGAGACACUGGGCAUGGAUGUGGAGGUGGCCAAUGGGGACUACAAGAGGCCUCUCCACGAGGCAGCCUCCAUGGGGCACAGGGAGUGUGUCUCCUACCUCCUGGCUAAGGGAGCCAGCGUGGAUUGUCUGAAAAGGGCCGACUGGACUCCCCUAAUGAUGGCUUGCACCAGGCAGAACCUGGAGGUGAUCAAAUUGCUCGUGGAGCAUGGAGCCAACCCGCUGCUGAAGAACAAGGAUGGCUGGAACUGCUUCCACAUUGCGAGCCGGGAGGGCCAUCUCCAGGUCCUCCAGUACCUGCUGGCUGUGUCCCCGAGCAGCUGGGACACAGAGAGCACCAUCAAGAGAACACCACUGCACACAGCAGCGAUGCACGGCUGUUUUGACGCGGUCGAGCUGCUCCUGGAGAGAUGCCAGUACAAACCUGACAGCAGGGACAGUUGUGGAGUCACACCCUUUAUGGAUGCUAUCCAGCAAGGGCAUGUCAGCAUUGCUCGACUGCUCCUGGAAAAACACCAGGCUUGUCCCACAGCUGUGGAUGCUCUGGGUGCUCAGCCUCUGCAUCGGGCAGCCGUCACGGCGCAGGAUGGAGCCAUCCAAUUCCUUGUCUCUGAGCUGGGCGUCGAUGUCAAUGAGAGAGCGACGGCUCUACAGCUCACGGCGCUGCACUACGCAGCCAAGGUUUGUCCUUAUCCCUCUGUUUCCUCUGCAAAGCCUUUGCCAGUUGGUGCACUACCGUCAGGCAUCUAAAACAGGCUGGCUUAGGUGUUUGCCACUAAUGAAGGAUUUACAAUCCUAGCUCAUCCUCUGUCAUUGCCUCUUUGCUCCUGGCCAGCCCUGUGCCCUGUUCAGUGUUCUUUAGGCCCUCACUGAGUGUGACCAGCUGUCUGUACAGUGGUGGAUGUGUGACUUGCUUUGUUCACCACGCAUCCUGGCAGUAUCUGACUGUGCUGAGGGUGGGUGAACCCCCCUGCAUGGCACUGAGUGGGAGCAGAGGUGAGUGGCAAUAGGGCACGGUUUCCUUUGCCACUCCUCCAGUUGGUCGUGCUGCAGAUAAGACUUGACCCACAUCUCUGGUGGGAGUAACUCUUCCAAUCUGUCACCUUUGGACCAAAAGGUAGUGCCUGGAGGGAGUCCACUCUGCUCAUUGAUGGGAGCUGUGGGUGUGAACAGUUUGUGAGAGGUGGUGGUGCUUUACCAGCAUCGUCUCUCACCUGGUGGAGUAGGAUUGGUGAAACACUGCUCAGAUUUCUUUCUCCUCUUUCUUCACCCUGGUGGAUCAGAAGCUGGUCUCCAUGCCAGCAGCUUGCUGAACAGAAAAAAGCCUCAUGUGCUGUGAGACACUGUUUGUCCCAGGAGAUCAGGUUCUGGCCUGCCUGUGGCCAGACGUGAGAAAAGAGAGGUAGGAAGGUGGAGGGAGCUCCCAGUGCUUAUCAGUGUCCUUCAUACAACUGUUGUUUGGAAUUCCAGUCCGAGUUGUUUGAGCUUUCUCCUCCUGUUGUCUCAUGCCUGUGCAGGGAGUAAGGCUGUGGGUCCUGCAACUCUCCCUGGGCAUGCAGAGCAGAUCCCCAAAGCCUCUCUGCUGUCCAGGAUUCCCCUUGAGGGCCUGCUGUCUCCCUUCUGCUUUGUGCUGCUGACUGCCUGCACUCCAAGGGAAGCAUCCCUGCUCAGACCUCAGCAUGUCAAACCUCAUGAGCUUUAACACGCAGCGCUCAGAGCCUUGUAGUGGGAAUGAAGCAGCAUCCCCGUGCCCCAUUCCUACAAAAGCAUCAAUGACACUUACUGAGAGUGCUGGCAACAGCAUUCUCCUCCAGCAGGACCCAGCCGUGGCAUUUGCUGGCUCCCACAAAGGAAGCCUUUCUCCCAUGCUCUGAGAAACCAUGUUGAAAGCCCUUUUGGUUGCCAAGGGUACGUUUAACAGCAAGGCUAUUGGGGAAAAUAAUGUGCCUUGGAGAAGAUCCCAGCUCUGUCUUGGUGAGUGGCUGAUUGGGGAGCAAUUUGAUGGGCUCCUCAUCCUUCCCGAGGCUCAGUGUCACUUUAUAUUUACAGCAUCAUUUGUUUGGCCGGUGGUGUUUUGGUUUGGGUGGUUUUUUUUUUUUUUCCUUUUUUUUUCCUUAUUACUUUGCAUUUAUAAAUACAUGAAAAUCAAAUUAUGCUUUCAACUCAAUUUGCUGCCAAGGCUAUGGCAGAGAAAGCAGUUCCUGGCUUGCUGUCUUUGCCACUGAGAGGGCCUGUGCAUACAGCGGGGAAAUGGGAGCCCUGAGCAGGGGGGAAUGUGAUGCUACUGAGUCGUAUGACAAUGGGGGAAAGAGUGGGUGGUAGGGAUAAAAAUAAGGGCCUUCCACUCUCAUGCCACAUUACAAAGGCUAAUUCAUUGCAUGGAAGAGGGAAUUAGAAAACCAGGCGUGUUAUUUAGGGAGAGAGGAUUUAUUUCAGGCGAAGCUUGUGCAGCGAGGAGGGGUGUGAGGGCUGCAUUGCAUUUCCCCCUGCAGCGUUUACAUUUGGCUGCUGGGCAGAGACAAAGUAGAGAACACCGUGGGGCGUGCUGGUGUGUAAGUGUGGUGUUCUGCACCUUCUCCCAGGGCAUUACAAAUGCUGGAGUAACCCUUUAGGAAGCGCAAGUGUCUGAGGGUACUGCAGGUAGGUGCACAGCAGAGCACAUCAGCAGCAGGUUCUUCUCUCUGAGCUGAAACACACCUCAAGAAGAGCAGCUGUUGAUCUCCAUAGUACUUGGAGUACAUUUACAGCGUGGGACUACAACAGUGCUAUGCUGUCCUUGAGUCCUUUUAACAAACAGCCAGCUGCCCGUUAUUAAAGUCCUAAGUCAGAGGUCAUUUGUGCAACGAUGUGGCCGUGUGUCUGAGCAGUCCCUGGCUAAUGGAACGGAUCUACUCAGCUACAGGCAGACAGAGGAGAUUUCCAGCUGCUGUUAAGUUGCUCUGGAUCUUGUAACAGCUCCUAGUAGUCCCAGAUUCGACCGUGGCGAGUUGACGUUGCAUCUGUGCCUUCGCAGGCGCAGUUCUAGACAGAUUGCUUGUGGCCUUCUUUCUUUUCAGGCCCGUGUCAUUUCUUCUAAAUGCAAAAGGUGAGGAGCUGUGCUGGUCCUGCUGAACAAAUAACCCACGUGCCUGUGCUCACCACUGCAGGAAGGACACACGUGCACCAUCCAGACUCUGCUGUCCCUCGGCGCCGACGUCCACGCAAAGGAUGGGAAGAGCCGUUCUGCCCUGCAUGCAGCGUGUGCUGGGCAGCACGCGGCUGCUGCACGGAUCCUGUUCAGCACUGGGCUACAGGA